UUUCCCUGGCUUCCUAAAUGUCUGUUUGUGCAUUUUUUCCUCCCCAGGUGCUGAACAGUGUCACAGAUUCGCUUCUCAUUUUUACGGAUCUGAGUCAAUUGCCCUCAGCCGGAGAUGGAUGCCUUCCAGCUUGGUGACUCUGCAGAAAGGAAGAGGCCAGGCCCUGGCUCCUGGCGGUGUGGGUGAUGGGGCAGCCACAGGGCACAGAAAGCCUCUCCACUCCCACCUCCAGCUCCUGCAGGUUGGAUCCAGACCUGUGUACACCCAUCCAAGGGCAAUGGUUGCAGCUUUGAAGUUCUGAUCAGGCCACCAGAAGACUACAAUAGGAGUUUUG